AAGUGCUAGGAUUACAGGCGUGGGACACCGUGCCCAGCCCAGGUCCUUGUGCCCUUCGAGGGUGCAGACGGUGGUCUCUGCAUCUCCUUUGCUCCACGUGCCAGGCACAGGUGCCUGGGAACUACAGAAGAGGUUGAAUAGAAGGCUUAACAAUGAGUUUGGAAGUCAGGCACAGAGGGUUUGACUUCCGGGGGCACCCCUUGCCAGCUGUAUGACCCUGGUAACAAGAGGAUUCAGAAUCUGAGAGAUACUGCUUAAAAGGAAAAUGUCCUGGAGGGAUGCCAAACUGCACUCUCAAAGGUUUCGGCUGGAUGUGUGAUAUUGAUGGGGAAACCCAUUUCAGUGUCUCUAAGAAGGGGGUAGUGCUCCUCUUUCCAGGAUGUCUCUGGGGAAUCUAGAGCACCCCAAAGUGUGGUAUGCAUAGAAACAUUGCUGCUUAAGGUCUGAAUAUUUGUUCCUCAUCAAUUCAUGUGUUGAAAUUCUAACCUCUCCUGAAUGGGAUUAGUGCUCUUACACGAGAGGCCUGACAGAGACUCCUCACCCUUCCCACCAUGCGAAGACACAGUGAGAAGGCUCAGUCUAUGAACCAAAAUGUUGACUGUCACCAUUUACUCAAUCUGCUGUCGCCUUGAGCUUGGACUUCCCAGCCUCCAGAACUGUGAGAAAUAAAUUUCUGUUGCUUAUAAGACAACCAGUUUAUGACAUUUCGUUAUAGCAGCCUGAAUGGACUAAGACACCCUUCCCACCAUGUGAAGACAGAGUGAGAAGGUUCGGUCUAUGAACCAAAAACUGACCCUCACCAGUCAUUGAAUCUGCUGGUGCCUUGAUCUUGGACUUCCCAGCCUCCAGAACUGUGAGAAAUAAAUUUCUGUCGUUUAUAAGCCACCUAGUUUAUGAUACUUUGUUAUAGCAGCCUGAAUGGACUGAGACACCCACCUUAAAAAGACAGUACCUCAAAACCAUAAGGCAGGAUAACUGCUAGCCUGAUAUUAAUAGUUUUUAAUUUACUGCUAGCUUCAUUUUGCCAACUGAGUCAGAUAUUUUUUAAAAGUUCUGUUUGCAAUUAUUUUAACUUAGGAGAGGAGAAAAAGAGCAGGCAUCAGCCUGCAUAUGGGAUAUUUCUGAAAGGAUUUUGCUAUGAUUAGCUUGCCCUCAGGGAGAGUAAAAUGUGAGUUAUACAACCAUGCUUAUAUUUAGAUGUUGUUGAUGUUCUGGCUUAUAAUAUAUGAUGAGUUAGAAAUAAUUUUGUACUGAUCAGCCCAACCAGAAAAUAAACAUGCUUUAACUU
rnacentral:lncRNA from 1 species